rnacentral:tRNA from 1 species
CGGGGCGUAGCUCAGCCCGGCUAGAGCGCUCGGUUCGGGAUCGAGAGGCCCGCAGUUCAAAUCUGCGCGCCCCGA